GCUGGGUAUGGUGGUGCAUGCCUUUAAUCCCAGCACUUGGGAGGCAGAGUAAGAGGAUCACCAUGAGUUCGAGGCCACCCUGAGAGUACAUAGUGAGUUUCAGGUCAGCCUGAGCUAGAGUGAGACCCUACCUCGAAAAACAAAAACAAACAAAAAAAAUGCAGAUUUUCACUUUAGCUCAGCUGACCUGGAAUUCACUAUGUAGUCUCAGGGUAGCCUCAAACUCAAAGCAAUCCUCUUACCUCU
rnacentral:sRNA from 1 species